GUUGAAGAACGUAGCGAAAUGCGAUAAGUAAUGUGAAUUGCAGAAUUCAGUGAAUCAUCGAAUCUUUGAACGCACAUUGCGCCCGCCAGUAUUCUGGCGAGCAUGCCUGUUCGAGCGUCAUUUCAACCAUCAAGCCCCAGGCUUGUGUUGGAGCCCUGCGGCUGCCGCAGCCUCCCAAAACCAGUGGCGGGCUCGCUAUCACACCGAGUGCAGUAGUUUACUCUUCGCUCAGGGCGUGUGGCGGGUGCUAGCCGUGAAACCCCCAACUUCUCAAGGUUGACCUCGGAUCAGGUAGGAAUACCCGCUGAACUUAAGCAUAUCAAUAAGCGGAGGA
rnacentral:misc_RNA from 1 species